CUGGCCAAUCAGCGCUUGUAUCGUAACCAAGAUUCAACCAAGAAUUGACCAAUCGGCGUUUCAGUAUGCCGUGUAUACUCGGAGUGGAUGCCGGCUAGUGAGAGAAUCACUUUUUCCAACUCUGCGAAAAGGGAACCAUGCUUUACAAAAUGGGCUGACGGCAGUCUGAACCUUACAGACACAUUGGAAGCUACGAAGGUGAAGGAAAGAACAAAGGCAGACCGGGGAUGCAACCUCUUUCCCCAGAGGAAGUGAUGGAUAAGGCCAGAAGAGCCAUAACCCAGCAACACAUGAGAUCCAAUCCAACAGAGGACACCUGAUGGGUUUGUUCAAAUUGUGGCACCAGGUGUGGAGAGCACUAAAAGGUGCUUCGUUGGGGCUCACAGUCCCGCACAGUGGCCAGACUGCAACCGAGUGGUAGAGGCCAUCUUCACAAACCUCUGUCAGCUCUACCCAAAUAGUGUGCGCUGUGAGGGAGUGAGGGUCUCACGAUUCAAAAUGGUGACACGUGCUUAUAAGCACAUCCGAGAGUGUGUGAUCACCAAUGCCAAGUUGAUGACUGAGACCACCAUCCAGCUCCCAGAAGUCAGUGCUGCAACUGUGACACAAUGGUUCAGCAGGCGUUGCAGGUCUCGGGAACAUCAGAUCCUGAAGCAGGGUAUCCCAGCUCCUGACGCACCCAUGGCAGGACCUGAGAAGCUUCCUGUGGCCAUGCAGAAAGGGCCAUCUCUGUAUCCCGGGAGUUUGGCUCAGCCUCACAUCUUUGUUCUGCCACCAAACACUGCUGAUGAGGCAAAGCUCAAGAAGGGAUCGAGACCAUUGGCCAUCUCGC